UUUAUAAAUAAAUAAUAUUAAUUUUACAAUGAAAAUGUAAGGUUUUUUAAUUAAACUAUAUAAAAAAAAGAAAU
rnacentral:tRNA from 1 species